rnacentral:rRNA from 1 species
GACGUAGGGAGCUAGCGUUGUUCGGAAUUACUGGGCGUAAAGCGCACGUAGGCGGCUUUGUAAGUUAGAGGUGAAAGCCCGGGGCUCAACUCCGGAAUUGCCUUUAAGACUGCAUCGCUUGAAUCCGGGAGAGGUGAGUGGAAUUCCGAGUGUAGAGGUGAAAUUCGUAGAUAUUCGGAAGAACACCAGUGGCGAAGGCGGCUCACUGGACCGGUAUUGACGCUGAGGUGCGAAAGCGUGGGGAGCAAACAGG